GAUCUCAGGAUGAGGACCAGCAGCCCAGCACUGGCCUUACAUCACCAGGAUGAGGACAGCAGCCCAGCACUGGCCUCAGAUCACACUGGGACCCUCAGGAUGAGGACCAGCAGCCCAGCACUGGCCUUACAUCACACUGGGACUCAGAGGAUGAGGAUCAGCAGCCCAGAACUGGCCUUACAUCACACUGGGACCCUCAGGAUGAGGACCAGCAGCCCAGCACUGGCCUUACACAACACUGGGGAUCUCAGGAUGAGGACCAGCAGCCCAGCACUGGCCUUACAUCACACCGUGACCCUCAGGAUGAGGACCAGCAGCCCAGGACCGGCCCUAUUGUUGUGGCUGCUCACCUCCUUGCCGGUCAGGACGUGCCGGGCCAGUUUGACCUUGGCGAAGUUGCCCUUGCCGAUGGUUUUCAGCAGCCUGUAGUUGCCGAUGUGGGGCUGCUCGUCGGCGGAGGUGGCCGAGUUGCGGCCCCGCAGCAUGUUGGGCUUCCCAGCUCCCUUCCCUUCCGCGUGGCCCAGCGCCGGCUGCGGGGGGACACAGAGGGGACACUCAGUUUACAGCCCCCCCCCCCCAGGAGGAGGAGAAGGAAGGAGAAGGGGGUGGAGAGGAGAGGGGGGGGGGUUUGGAGGCAGGCAGGGCUGGGAGCAAAGUCCGGGUGUGCCACACCGCGCCCCGGGCGGACCGGGAGCCGCCCCCGAUACCUGACGCAAGCGGGGUGGUUUCGGGCUCCCUAAGGACAGGGAGGAAGGGAUUUGCCCCACGCUGUCAGCUGUGGGGUUGUGGGGAAAUGGAGGGAGGGGUUCUGACCCGCAGGAGGGGGAAAACAGGGUGGGAUUUGGGGUUAAACGGAGACCUGCGCUGCGCGCAGCUCCGGAGCGGUGAUGCCAAAACUUUCAUGGCUGGCUCCAAAGCAGGGGUGGCUCCAAACCCCCACAUUCAGCCCCAAAUCCCCACAUCCAGCCCCAAAACGGGGAUGACUCCAAACCCCCACAUCCAGUCCCAAAUCUCCACAUCCAGCCCCAAAACAGGGAUGUCUCCAGACCCCCACAUCCAGCCCCAAAUCUCCACAUCCAGCCCCAAAAUGGGGAUGUCUCCAAAAACCCAAAACCAGCCCCAAAACUGGGAUGUCUCCAAAUCUCCACAUCCAGCCCCAAAACUGGGAUGUCUCCAAAAACCCAAAACCAGCCUGAAAUCCCCACAUCCAGCACCAAAACAGGGAUGUCUCCAAACCCCCACAUCCAGCCCCAAAACAGAAAUGUCUCCAAAAACCCAAAGCCAGCCCCAAAUCCCCACAUCCAGCCCCAAACCCCCAAAUCCAUCCCCAAAGCGCCCCAUGUACCCAAAUUCAGCCCCAAAGCCCUCAGCCCCAAACCCCGUGCUCCUCCCAGGCUCUAUUUCCACAUCCCACCCCCAAAUCCCCACUUUCUGCCCCCAAAUCCCCACUCCCUGCCCCCAAAUCCCCACUCCCUGCCCCCCAAAACAGCCUCUCCACAUCCCCACGCUCAGCCCCACAGCUCCCAAAGGAGCUGGCUGCUGCCCACCCCAAAUCCCAGCACCCCAUAUCAACACCCCCUUCCCCCCCAGAGAUGGAAAACCCCAAAACAGGGAUGUCUCCAAAAACCCAAAGCCAGCCCCAAAUCCCCACAUCCAGCCCCAAAACCGGGAUGUCUCCAAACCCCCAAAUCCAUCCCCAAACCUCCCAAGGACCCAAGUUCAGCCCUAAAGCCCCGAGCCCCAAACCCUGUGCUCCUCCCAGGCUCUAUUUCCAAAUCCCGUCCCCAAAUCCCCACUUUCUGCCCCCAAAUCCCCACUUCCUGACCCCAAAACAGCCUCUCCACAUCCCCAAGCUCAGCCCCACAGCUCCCAAAGGAGCUGGCUGCUGCCCACCCCAAAUCCCNNNNNNNNNNNNNNNNNNNNNNNNNNNNNNNNNNNNNNNNNNNNNNNNNNNCAAAAAUGGAAACUGAGGUGUUGCUCACCUGGCAAAGCCCAGCACGGCCCCAGGAGCCCCCAGAUGGCCACAAGAAGCCCAGCACAGCUCCAGGAAGCCCCAAAUGGCCCCAAAAACCCUAAGCCAGCCCCAGGAAGCCCCAAAUGGCCCCAGAGAGCCCAGCACGGCCCCAGGAACCCCCAGGUAGCCCCAAAAAGCCCAGCAACAGCCCCAGGAACCUUCAGAUGGCCCCAGGAAACCCCAGGUGGCCACAAGAAGCCCAGCACAGCCCCAGGUAGCACCAGGAAGCCCAGCACAGCCCCCAAGUGGCCUCAAGUGGCCACAAGAAGCCCAGCACAGCCCCAGAGACCCCCAGGUGGCACCAGGAAGCCCAGCACGACCCCAGGAAGCCCCAGGUGGCCACAAGAAGCCCAGCAACACCCCAAAGACCCCCAGGUAGUCCCAGGAAGCCCCAGGUGGCCACAGGAAGACCCAGGAAGCCACAAGCAGCCCAGCACAGCCCCAGAGACCCCCAGGUGGCACCAGGAAACCCCAGGUGGCCACAAGAANNNNNNNNNNGCCACAGGAAGCCCCAGGUGGCCACAGGAAGCCCAGCACAGCCCCAGAGAUCCCCAGGUGGCACCAGGAAACCCCAGGAAGCCACAAGAAGCACCAAAGACCCCCAGGUGGCCACAGGAAGACCCAGGUGGCCACAGGAAGACCAGCACAGCCCCAGAGAUCCCCAGGUGGCACCAGGAAACCCCAGGUGGCCACAAGAAGCCCAGCACGACCCCAG
rnacentral:lncRNA from 1 species